UGUCCUAUAAGAUUGGAGAUGG
rnacentral:siRNA from 1 species